CGAUGCCUAGAAUCACAGAUGUUUGGUCUGGCUUUCUGUUUCACCUCUCCUAUAUGGCAGCUCAUUGUUGGACCUCCUUUUCUUCUUCCUGUCUGCAUAGGAAAAGAAUGUCCCCCUCGCUAUAAAUGAAACAGAGAAGACCAAGAUGAAGAGGAAGAUGAGCGCAGUGCAGCAUGCCGAGGCACCGGGGACUCAGCAGGGACUCAGGAGAAGAGAGACCCUGUGGAAACAGGACGAGCUGUCCUAUGAGAGGUCUCCGGAGGCUAAGCUUGGGACUCUCACCACAAAGAAAGGAGUUUAGCAGAAACACAGGGAAGCCAAGGGAACCCCAAAAAUCCAACUGGACAUUGAGGGUCCCAACCAAGCAGUGCCUUCUGCCACCCAGCACUCACUGUUUGCAGCCCU
rnacentral:lncRNA from 1 species